AAAUUGAAGAGUUUGAUCAUGGCUCAGAUUGAACGCUGGGGGCAGGCCUAACACAUGCAAGUCGAACGGUAACAGGAAGCAGCUUGCUGCUUUGCUGACGAGUGGCGGACGGGUGAGUAAUGUCUGGGAAACUGCCUGAUGGAGGGGGAUAACUACUGGAAACGGUGGCUAAUACCGCAUAACGUCGCAAGACCAAAGAGGGGGACCUUCGGGCCUCUUGCCAUCAGAUGUGCCCAGAUGGGAUUAGCUAGUUGGUGAGGUAACGGCUCACCAAGGCGACGAUCCCUAGCUGGUCUGAGAGGAUGGCCAGCCACACUGGAACUGAGACACGGUCCAGACUCCUACGGGAGGCAGCAGUGGGGAAUAUUGCACAAUGGGCGCAAGCCUGAUGCAGCCAUGCCGCGUGUAUGAAGAAGGCCUUCGGGUUGUAAAGUACUUUCAGCGGGGAGGAAGGUGUUGUGGUUAAUAACCGCAGCAAUUGACGUUACCCGCAGAAGAAGCACCGGCUAACUCCGUGCCAGCAGCCGCGGUAAUACGGAGGGUGCAAGCGUUAAUCGGAAUUACUGGGCGUAAAGCGCACGCAGGCGGUCUGUCAAGUCGGAUGUGAAAUCCCCGGGCUCAACCUGGGAACUGCAUUCGAAACU
rnacentral:rRNA from 1 species